rnacentral:rRNA from 1 species
AGAUCAAAUUGUUGGUCGUGCCUCGGUACGUACUGGCAUUAUUGGUUUCUCCCUUCUGAAGAACCUUGAUGUCAUUAAUUUGGUGUCUUGGGGAAUCAGGACUGUUACUUUGAAAAAAUUAGAGUGUUUAAAGCAGGCUCGCGCUUGAAUACAUUAGCAUGGAAUAAUGAAAUAGGACGUUUGAUUCUAUUUUGUUGGUUUCUAGGAUCGACGUAAUGAUUAAUAGGGAUAGUUGGGC